rnacentral:snoRNA from 1 species
GUAGGGAUGAUGAAGAAAACAUCCGGACUCCCACUGUGCCUUGC